rnacentral:rRNA from 1 species
AGAGUUUGAUCCUGGCUCAGGACGAACGCUGGCGGCGUGCUUAACACAUGCAAGUCGAACGAGAGCGUAGAGAAAGCUUGCUUUUUCUACAAUCUAGUGGCAAACGGGUGAGUAACGCGUAAACAACCUGCCCUACGGAUGGGGACAACAGCUGGAAACGGCUGCUAAUACCGAAUACGUUCCGAAAGUCGCAUGACUAUCGGAAGAAAAGAUGGCCUCUAUUUAUAAGCUAUCGCCGGAGGAGGGGUUUGCGUCUGAUUAGCUAGUUGGAGGGGUAACGGCCCACCAAGGCGACGAUCAGUAGCCGGUCUGAGAGGAUGAACGGCCACAUUGGAACUGAGACACGGUCCAGACUCCUACGGGAGGCAGCAGUGGGGAAUCUUCCGCAAUGGGCGAAAGCCUGACGGAGCAACGCCGCGUGAGUGAAGACGGCCUUCGGGUUGUAAAGCUCUGUUAUACGGGACGAAUAAUCUUGUGGUUAAUACCCAUGAGAAGUGACGGUACCGUAAGAGAAAGCCACGGCUAACUACGUGCCAGCAGCCGCGGUAAUACGUAGGUGGCAAGCGUUGUCCGGAAUUAUUGGGCGUAAAGGGCGCGCAGGCGGCUUCUUAAGUCUGUCUUAAAAGUGCGGGGCUUAACCCCGUGAUGGGAUGGAAACUGGGAAGCUCAGAGUAUCGGAGAGGAAAGCGGAAUUCCUAGUGUAGCGGUGAAAUGCGUAGAUAUUAGGAGGAACACCAGUGGCGAAAGCGGCUUUCUGGACGAAAACUGACGCUGAGGCGCGAAAGCCAGGGGAGCGAACGGGAUUAGAUACCCCGGUAGUCCUGGCCGUAAACGAUGGGUACUAGGUGUAGGAGGUAUCGACCCCUUCUGUGCCGGAGUUAACGCAAUAAGUACCCCGCCUGGGGAGUACG